CCUUAUCUUCUUCCCCCUUUUAAAUUAAAACUGAAAACUCCUCUCUCUCUCUUCCGAUUUGGCUGAAUCGGAGCAACGGCGACGUCACGGCUAUCACGUUACCGCCGCCGCCGCCGACGACGAGCCACCAUGGCUCCGCCGCCGACCGCCGUCUGAAAACAGAACGGAGACCACCCUGUGGCUCCGCCGCCGGCAGCCGCAGCGGCUGCCGCCCCCUGAUUCCAUCACUCACGUAUGCAGAACACGGCUCAGCCCCAAAUUCAGUCAUAGCAUAGAUGAUUUGAGCAAAAUUCAUACAUAGUCAGGAAGUAAUUAUCUCUAUAUGUCCAUGUAAAAAGUCAAGAUCUUUAAUUGUUCUUCAAUUAAUCACACUGCAUAUAAACACCUCACUUGUAAAUUCAGCCUUUCGAACAUCAAUGUUUAAAACGAGUUUAUACACAAGUUGUAUGCACAUAAAGAGGAAUAUGAGCAGUUGUAUGCGUUGGUGGUU